UGCAUGGUUGUCGUCAGCUCGUGUCGUGAGAUGUUGGGUUAAGUCCCGCAACGAGCGCAGCCCCUAUUGUUAGUUGCCAUCAUUCAGUUGGGCACUCUAGCGAGACUGCCGGUAAUAAACCGGAGGAAGGUGGGGAUGACGUCAAAUCAUCAUGCCCCUUAUGACCUGGGCUACACACGUGCUACAAUGGUUGGUACAACGAGUUGCGAGUCGGUGACGGCGAGCUAAUCUCUUAAAGCCAAUCUCAGUUCGGAUUGUAGGCUGCAACUCGCCUACAUGAAGUCGGAAUCGCUAGUAAUCGCGGAUCAGCACGCCGCGGUGAAUACGUUCCCGGGCCUU
rnacentral:rRNA from 1 species